rnacentral:rRNA from 1 species
GACAUGCUGAAAAUCUUUCGAAAGUUAGAUGUGCCUUAGGGAAUCUAGACACAGUUGGUGCAUGGCUGUCGUCAGCUCGUGUCGUGAGAUGUAUGGUUAAGUCCUUCAACGAGCGCAACCCUCGUCUUUAGUUAAAUUUCUAUAGAGACUGCCGAUUACAAGUCGGAGGAAGGUGGGGACGACGUCAAGUCAUCAUGCCAUUUAUAUCCUGGGGCUACACACGUGCUACAAUGGUUGAGACAACGAGUGCAAAUUUGCGAAAUAAGCUAAUCUCUUAAACUCAGCCUUAGUUCGGAUGGUAGGCUGAAACUCGCCUGCCUGAAGCCGGAAUUGAUAGUAAUCGCUGGUCAGCUAUACAGCGGUGAAUACGUUCUCGGGUCUU